rnacentral:rRNA from 1 species
UCAGGCAACGAAACUGCGAAUAGCUCAUUAAUACGCUCAGAAUCUAUUUGGCAGCGACCAACAGGUUUUAAAUGGAUAGCAGAAGUAAUUCUUGUGCUAAUACAUGCGAUUGUUUCAUCUGAUGUGAAUUAAGAUGGAAAAGUUGACCGUCAGGCAUGCCAUUCGAUUGAGCGACCUAUCAGCUUGUACUUAGGGUCUUUACCUAGGUAGGCUAUCACGGGUAACGGGCGGUUACCGUCGGACUGCCGGAGAAGGCGCCUGAGAGAUAGCGACUAUAUCCACGGGUAGCAGCAGGCGCGAAACUUACCCACUCGAGACUUUCGGAGGUGGUAAUGACCAGUUUUAGAUCAGCUCCGUAAGGGGUUGUUUAAAUAGGAUCACACCUUUCCAGUGUGGUGGAACCUAGCAGAGGGCCAGUCUGGUGCCAGCAGCUGCGGUAAUUCCAGCUCUGCGAGUUUGCUCCCAUAUUGUUGCAGUUAAAACGCCCGUAGUCUGAACUACAAUUGUUUAAGCGAUUUUUAAUCGCGUUCACUGUGAACAAAUCAGGACGCUUAGAGUAGGGUCUCUGAAUGACUCAGCGCAGUAUGAUAUUUUUACCUAAGGUAAAAUCAACGAGAGCCACCGGGGGUAGAUCUAUUUCAUGGCGAGCGGUGGAAUGCUAUGACCCAUGAGAGAGAAACGAAGGCGAAGGCAUCUACCUAGCGGGUUUCUGUCGAUCAAGGGCGAGAGUAGGAGUAUCCAACCGGAUUAGAGACCCGGGUAGUUCCUACCUUAAACGAUGCCGACAAGGGCUUAUCUUUUCAUGAAGGUAGGACCUUAGGAGAAAUCAUAGUUCUUGGGCUCUGGGGGAACUACGACCGCAAGGCUGAAACUUGAAGGAAUUGACGGAAGGGCACACCAGGGGUGGAGCUUGUGGCUUAAUUUGAAUCAACACGGGGAAACUUACCAGGACCAGAUGUUUUUUAUGACUGACAGGCUACCGGUCUUUCAGGAUGUGACUUUUGGUGGUGCAUGGCCGUUGGUGGUGCGUGGGUUGACCUGUCUAGCGUUGAUUCAGAUAACGAGCGAGAUUAUCACCAAUUAAAUAAUUCUAACUAAUACUAGUUACGAAUUUCUAAUUGGGACUCCCUGUGUCUAAACAGGAGGAAGAGGGUAGCAAUAACAGGUCCGUGAUGUCCUUUAGAUGCUCUGGGCUGCACGCGCGCUACAAUGUGAGGAUCAAUGAGUUAUGAACUUGAUAAAGUUAAUUACUCUCUGAAUACCUCACGUAGUUGGGAUUGAUGAUUGUAAUCAUCAUCAUGAACCAGGAAUCCCUUGUAAAUGUGUGUCAACAGCGCACGUUGAAUACGUCCCUGCCCUUUGUACACACCGCCCGUCGCUCCUACCGAUUGAAUGAUUCGGUGAAAUCACCGGAGAGAAUUUCUUGAAGGUGAUUAAAUCAUAUUAUUUAGA